UACGUAGGGGGCAAGCGUUGUUCGGAAUUACUGGGCGUAAAGGGCGCGUAGGCGGCUCGGCAAGUCGGGAGUGAAAGCCCGGGGCUCAACCCCGGAACGGCUCUCGAAACUGCCGGGCUUGAGUGCGGAAGAGGCAACCGGAAUUCCCAGUGUAGCGGUGAAAUGCGUAGAUAUUGGGAAGAACACCUAUGGCGAAGGCAGCUCUCUGGGACGGUACUGACGCUGAGACGCGAAAGCGUGGGGAGCGAACAGG
rnacentral:rRNA from 1 species